AUUUUAAAAAGAAAAUAAAAAACUAACCUCGAUUCCCCCCUCCCUUCGCCUCACUCGAGUCUCUCAAUGGCUCACUCACACACUAAUACGCUCAUCAGAAAGCAAAGGGAUCUUCUUCUCGUAGCCACCGGCCACAUCGUUGCCACCGGCCACCACCACCACACUGCUCCCUGCGUUGUCGUUGAACGCACGGCAUCGUCGCCUCCGUCUGUGGCUCGCUGCACUGCGUCGUCGCGUGUUGGUGCUCCCUGUGCAUCUGUCGUCGUCGUUGCUUUCUCGCCCGGCGUUGCUCGCGGUUGUUGCUGCCUCGCUGUUUGCGUCAUCGCUGUGGUUGGUCUCUCUCUUCUCGUCAUUUGCGUCGUCUGCAUGCUCGGGGUGAAGAUGUUGUUAAUCCUGGCAAGUGUGAGAAGGCUAGAUUGAAAGAGAUGCAAAAAAUGAAAAAACAAAAGCUUCAGGAGAUAUUGGAUGCACAAAAUGCAGCCAUAGAUGCCGAUAUGAAUAAUAAAGGAAAAGGAAGACUAAAAUAUCUCUUACAGCAGACUAAGCUGUUUGCACAUUUUGUAAAAGGUGAACAAUCAUCUCAGAAGACAAGAGGCAGGGGCCGCCAUGCAUCAAAAGUGACAGAAGAGGAGAAAAAUGAAGAAUACCUAAAAGAAGAAAAAAUUGAAGGAUUACCAACUUACUAGGCUAAACUGGCUUAUAAGAGUGUAUGAGAAUGGAAUAAAUGAAAUUCAAUCUACUGAAAUGAACAAUCUUCAUGAAUUCUGGUCUCUGCUCAACUUUCUUUUUCUCGAAUUUUUUAGUUCUUCUCAACCUUGGGUCUCAUAUAUACUUUAGUUAUCUAAAUAUAAUAUUUUGAUGCUUCUAUAUUUUUAAAGAGACUUUACCUGGUAUUACAUGUAAUGGAUAAAUUACACUGUAUUUUGAUUUGUGUCGUUUGGACUAAAAAUAUAUCUAGCUUAUAAUAUAAAUUUUAUGAUCUAGAUUUC